GACGAACGCUGGCGGCGUGCUUAACACAUGCAAGUCGAACGGAAAGGCCCUGCUUUUGUGGGGUGCUCGAGUGGCGAACGGGUGAGUAACACGUGAGUAACCUGCCCUUGACUUUGGGAUAACUUCAGGAAACUGGGGCUAAUACCGGAUAGGAGCUCCUGCUGCAUGGUGGGGGUUGGAAAGUUUCGGCGGUUGGGGAUGGUCUCGCGGCUUAUCAGCUUGUUGGUGUGGUAGUGGCUUACCAAGGCUGUGACGGGUAGCCUGCAUGAGAGGGUUACCGGCCACAUUGGGACUGAGAUACGGCGCAGACUCCUACGGGAGGCAGCAGUGGGGAAUAUUGCACAACGGGCGGAAGCCUGAUGCAGCAACGCCGCGUGCGGGAUGACGGCCUUCGGGUUGUAAACCGCUUUCGCCUGUGACGAAGCGUGAGUGACGGUAAUGGGUAAAGAAGCACCGGCUAACUACGUG
rnacentral:rRNA from 1 species